rnacentral:tRNA from 3 species
CGGGUGUAGUUUAGUGGUAAAACCUCAGCCUUCCAAGCUGAUGUUGUGGGUUCGAUUCCCAUCGCCC